CAUGCAAGUCGAACGAACUCUGGUAUUGAUUGGUGCUUGCAUCAUGAUUUACAUUUGAGUGAGUGGCGAACUGGUGAGUAACACGUGGGAAACCUGCCCAGAAGCGGGGGAUAACACCUGGAAACAGAUGCUAAUACCGCAUAACAACUUGGACCGCAUGGUCCGAGUUUGAAAGAUGGCUUCGGCUAUCACUUUUGGAUGGUCCCGCGGCGUAUUAGCUAGAUGGUGGGGUAACGGCUCACCAUGGCAAUGAUACGUAGCCGACCUGAGAGGGUAAUCGGCCACAUUGGGACUGAGACACGGCCCAAACUCCUACGGGAGGCAGCAGUAGGGAAUCUUCCACAAUGGACGAAAGUCUGAUGGAGCAACGCCGCGUGAGUGAAGAAGGGUUUCGGCUCGUAAAACUCUGUUGUUGAAGAAGAACAUAUCUGAGAGUAACUGUUCAGGUAUUGACGGUAUUUAACCAGAAAGCCACGGCUAACUACGUGCCAGCAGCCGCGGUAAUACGUAGGUGGCAAGCGUUGUCCGGAUUUAUUGGGCGUAAAGCGAGCGCAGGCGGUUUUUUAAGUCUGAUGUGAAAGCCUUCGGCUCAACCGAAGAAGUGCAUCGGAAACUGGGAAACUUGAGUGCAGAAGAGGACAGUGGAACUCCAUGUGUAGCGGUGAAAUGCGUAGAUAUAUGGAAGAACACCAGUGGCGAAGGCGGCUGUCUGGUCUGUAACUGACGCUGAGGCUCGAAAGUAUGGGUAGCAAACAGGAUUAGAUACCCUGGUAGUCCAUACCGUAAACGAUGAAUGCUAAGUGUUGGAGGGUUUCCGCCCUUCAGUGCUGCAGCUAACGCAUUAAGCAUUCCGCCUGGGGAGUACGGCCGCAAGGCUGAAACUCAAAGGAAUUGACGGGGGCCCGCACAAGCGGUGGAGCAUGUGGUUUAAUUCGAAGCUACGCGAAGAACCUUACCAGGUCUUGACAUACUAUGCAAAUCUAAGAGAUUAGACGUUCCCUUCGGGGACAUGGAUACAGGUGGUGCAUGGUUGUCGUCAGCUCGUGUCGUGAGAUGUUGGGUUAAGUCCCGCAACGAGCGCAACCCUUAUUAUCAGUUGCCAGCAUUAAGUUGGGCACUCUGGUGAGACUGCCGGUGACAAACCGGAGGAAGGUGGGGAUGACGUCAAAUCAUCAUGCCCCUUAUGACCUGGGCUACACACGUGCUACAAUGGAUGGUACAACGAGUUGCGAACUCGCGAGAGUAAGCUAAUCUCUUAAAGCCAUUCUCAGUUCGGAUUGUAGGCUGCAACUCGCCUACAUGAAGUCGGAAUCGCUAGUAAUCGCGGAUCAGCAUGCCGCGGUGAAUACGUUCCCGGGCCUUGUACACACCGCCCGUCACACCAUGAGAGUUUGUAACACCCAAAGUCGGUGGGGUAACCUUUUAGGAACCAGCCGCCU
rnacentral:rRNA from 1 species